rnacentral:lncRNA from 1 species
UUGGUUUUGAGGGUGAUUAUCCACAUGAAUGAUUCGGGAUCGAUCCCCCUUCAAUGCUUUUUGAGUCGAGUCUGUCGCAUAGGGCUUGCCUAGUGCGGUUUAUAUUCCCUGUGUGGUUUGCAGGCUAUUACACGGAGGGUUUAUCCAGUGCGCACAAAGUGUUCACCACAGAGUGCUCACCCGAAGGGCAGAAACUGUGACAGAAGUUGUAGCAGCUGCGAGUUAUAUCCUGGGGUUAAAAAAAAUAUAUAUGUAGUACGAUUGAAAAGGUGAGGGUCCAAAUUACUUGAUUUUGUGUACGAUUAUUGUUAUUCUUAUUUCUUUAUUUGGCUAGGGGAGUAUAAUGUAGCAGAAAGG